rnacentral:tRNA from 1 species
GGAAAUGUAGCUCAGUGGUGGAGCGUUCACCUAGUAUGGGUGAGGCCCUAGGUUUGGUCCCUAGCGCCA